rnacentral:rRNA from 1 species
CUACGGGAGGCAGCAGUGAGGAAUAUUGCACAAUGGGGGGAACCCUGAUGCAGCAACGCCGCGUGGGGGAUGACGCAUUUCGGUGUGUAAACUCCUUUUAUAUGUCAAGAAAAUGACGGUAGCAUAUGAAUAAGCACCGGCUAACUCCGUGCCAGCAGCCGCGAUAAUACGGAGGGUGCAAGCGUUACUCGGAAUCACUGGGCGUAAAGGACGCGUAGGCGGGUUGGAAAGUCAGGUGUGAAAUCCUACAGCUUAACUGUAGAACUGCACUUGAAACUUCUAAUCUAGAGUAUGGGAGGGGGAGAUGGAAUUAGUGGUGUAGGGGUAAAAUCCGUAGAUAUCACUAGGAAUACCUAAAGCGAAGGCGAUCUCCUGGAACAUUACUGACGCUAAGGCGUGAAAGCGUGGGGAGCAAACAGGAUUAGAUACCCUAGUAGUC